rnacentral:lncRNA from 1 species
UGAUGUAAUACUUCUGUUACAGACAGCUGUCCUGAUGGUACAUACGGAUACAACUGUGGUUACACGUGUAACUGUGACCAGGACAAGUGUGACCCUACUUCCGGUUGCAGUCCGCCAAACUGUUCCCCAGGGUGGUCUGGUCCGACAUGUCAGAAACAUAACGUUGCGAGGGGGAAACCUACAUCAUCCAGUGGAGAAGGUCCUUUCCCAUCAUCCCAAGCUACAGACGGAAACACUGCUGCAGACGGUUACACUGUCUGUAUAGAGACAGAUACCCGCA